rnacentral:rRNA from 1 species
CAGCAGCCGCGGGAAUACGUAGGUGGCAAGCGUUGUCCGGAAUUAUUGGGCGUAAAGGGCUCGCAGGCGGUUUCUUAAGUCUGAUGUGAAAGCCCCCGGCUCAACCGGGGAGGGUCAUUGGAAACUGGGAAACUUGAGUGCAGAAGAGGAGAGUGGAAUUCCACGUGUAGCGGUGAAAUGCGUAGAGAUGUGGAGGAACACCAGUGGCGAAGGCGACUCUCUGGUCUGUAACUGACGCUGAGGAGCGGAAGCGUGGGGAGCGAACAGGAUUAGAUACCCCUGUAGUCCCUGUCUCUUAUAC